UACGGAGGGUGCAAGCGUUAAUCGGAAUUACUGGGCGUAAAGCGCGCGUAGGCGGUUUGUUUAGCGAGAUGUGAAAGCCCCGGGCUCAACCUGGGAAUUGCAUUUCGAACUGGCAGGCUAGAGUACAAGAGAGGGUGGUAGAAUUUCCUGUGUAGCGGUGAAAUGCGUAGAUAUAGGAAGGAAUACCAGUGGCGAAGGCGGCCACCUGGCUUGAUACUGACGCUGAGGUGCGAAAGCGUGGGGAGCGAACAGG
rnacentral:rRNA from 1 species